CACCAGAGGAUUAUGAUGACGCGAUCACUGCUGGUGGGAGACAUCAUGCUACAGAAGAAUUAUCAGAAAACUAUGAUGAUGUCGUCACUGUACAGCAGUUCUUCAAAGUUCAAACAGACUAUAAUGAUGUGGGGGAGGUGCCUGGAAAACAUGGAGGAACUGUAUAAAUGAAAGCACACCCACGGUCCCACAUCCUUUUAAGGGUCCACAGAUUUUAAGUUAAUGUUUUAUCUGCAAU